ACUUGUGCCUCUAGGCUUUGAACAUGCUGUUCUGAAUCUGCAUCCUCCUCAAACUCAACUUCCCCAGACUCUUAAUCAUCUUUAUGAAAUCAACUCUGUUGUUGAAUGAUUUCAGGAUAGCUGGAGACUCUGGAGGAGGCUGAAUGGUGGCCUUUAAAAAGGUGGGGUAUGGGAGCUUGAACCAGAAAAGGCCCUUGUACACGAUAUAAAAACUGAAAGGGAAGGAGGAAACAGAAAGGGAGAAAGAAAGAGAGACACUUGCAGCAGUUCUUCACUGCUUAUGAAGUUCCCCUUUGCAAGUGGGGUGCAGAAUCUUGAACCCAGGUCCACAAGCACUAUAAUGUGUGUGCUUUACCAUGUGCACUGCCCUCACUCCCCGCCUGGGACCUCUCUCUUUGCCUUUGUAUAUGUCUCUCUUCUACCUUAUAAAAUGACAGAAGAAUUUGGUUGAUUUGAGGAGGAGUUGUGAUUAACCUAGACAAAUAUUAAAAAUAAAAUUAAACCUCC